rnacentral:rRNA from 1 species
AGCCCAGCACCGAAUCCCGCGAUCGAAAUGGUUGUCGGGAAAUGUGGUGUUCGGGAGGAUCCGAUUAUCUCGCGACCUUACGACGCGUCCAAGUCCAUCUUGAACGGGGCUACAGUCCAUAGAGGGUGCCAGGCCCGUAGCGAUCGUCGUUAGUUGCGAGAGGAUCUCUCCUUAGAGUCGGGUUGCUUGAGAGUGCAGCCCUAAGCGGGUGGUAAACUCCAUCUAAGGCUAAAUAUAACCACGAGACCGAUAGCGAACAAGUACCGUGAGGGAAAGUUGAAAAGCACUUUGAAGAGAGAGUUCAAGAGUACGUGAAACCGUUUAGGGGUAAACCUGAGAAACCCGAAAGGUCGAAGGGAGAAAUUCAUUCGCGUUUCGUCGUAGACGUGCGGCGUUCGAGCGACGGAGGCGGUGUUCGCGCAUCGCUUUCGCGCCUUUCGCCUCUUACGAUUCGACGGCGAACGCGUGCACUUUUCUCCUGGUAGGACGUCGCGAUCCGUUGAGUGUCGGUCUAAGGUUGCGACUAACGGUGGAGCCCGUGAGUACGGUUCGCGCCGUUUUACUCACGGACCCGUUUAUACCCGGCCGACUCGCUCGACGGUAUGCGAACGGUUUAAAGCCGCUCUCUCUUCUCGAGAGCGUUCGACUCGUCGCAAGCGCGUCAGAUGCACGUUGGCGAUCGGACCUAGUGCCGGUUCCGACCUCUGACGGCUGUUGGCGACGAUGUUCUCGAACAGACUUUUAACCGAUCCGCGACGCUAUAGCUUUGGGUACUUUCAGGACCCGUCUUGAAACACGGACCAAGGAGUCUAGCAUGUGCGCGAGUCAUUGGGAACUAAUAAACCUAAAGGCGCAAUGAAAGUGAAAGUUCGUCUCGCACGAACCUAGGGAAGAUGAGCGGUUGACCCUUAAAAGUAGCCGCUCCGCAUUCCCGGGGCGUCUCGUUCUCAUCGCGAGAAGAGGCGCACCAAGAGCGUACACGCUGGGACCCGAAAGA